GAUGAACGCUGGCGGCGUGCCUAAUACAUGCAAGUCGAGCGAACGGACGAGAAGCUUGCUCCUUUGACGUUAGCGGCGGACGGGUGAGUAACACGUAGAUAACCUACCUAUAAGACUGGGAUAACUUCGGGAAACCGCAGCUAAUACCGGAUAAUAUUUCGAACCGCAGGGUUCAAUAGUGAAAGAGGGCUUUGCUGUCACUUAUAGAUGGUCCCGCGCCGUAUUAGCUAGUUGGUAAGGUAACGGCUUACCAAGGCAACGAUGCGUAGCCGACCUGAGAGGGUGAUCGGCCACACUGGAACUGAGACACGGUCCAGACUCCUACGGGAGGCAGCAGUAGGGAAUCUUCCGCAAUGGGCGAAAGCCUGACGGAGCAACGCCGCGUGAGUGAUGAAGGUCUUCGGAUCGUAAAACUCUGUUAUUAGGGAAGAACAAAAGUGUAAGUAACUGUGCACGUCUUGACGGUACCUAAUCAGAAAGCCACGGCUAACUACGUG
rnacentral:rRNA from 1 species